GGGCAGAGCAAAGAAUGCCACAGGCUUCGAAGCACCUUCCUUCUCGGUUAUUCUACCUGGGAAGUCAGCAAUUUCAUGGCAUCCAAGAGGUCUUUUAUUUACCUUGGCAGAUUUUUGACUUCUAGGAAGUUCAUCUCUCUCAGGAAAUUCUUAAGUGAAGCUGGUGUGUUUUUGUUUUCCCGUGAGUGCGUGGCAAGCGAGAAUGCACUGAGCACCAGGGACGUGUGGUGUUGAGCUUGAGUCGUGCUAAGGCACCAGCAGUGUUACCCACCAGUGCAACUGUGAACUCAGCGAAAAAGACAAAGAACGUCUUAGUAUUAUUUUGAGCUGUAAGACAAGCUCUCAUCAAUGGCAAUUACAAUUCUUCACCCUGUUUGAGGGGAAAGGAAAGCUGACUUGUGGCCACCCCCAGGGGUUUGCCUUGAAGGACUCCCUUUGAAUUUACAGUAGGAUUUUAUGGGCCAAGUUCUUCACGUGUAAAUUUAGGCAGCGGGGCUGGAGGACUCCAACAGUCUGCAGAUUUCUACCUAGUGAUUCUGGGGAGUCCGGAGACUGCCGACAGGGAUCCAGGAGGAGGGCCAGAUGAUUUUUACAAAAGUACUCCUUGUCGCCUCUAGGGGGCGUGCCAGCCCUCCCUACAGCCUUGAAAAGCUAAGUAGCCAAUUCUUCAGCAUUUCUCAAUGUUUCCGGGAACUUGUGAGUUCCUUGGUGGGAUGGAAUUUACCGUCUCAGGGAGGAAUAUGAGGCUGAGUUAGUGAGCCGAUAAGGAAAAGUGACCACGGCAGAUAUUCCACAGGGAAGUAGAACAGCAGCACAGGUAAUGUGGAGAGGUACUGGCUUCCAGGGGGACCUCCUCCCUGCAGAAUCAGAUUGCUGCCUCUGUGGAGGUGACCGUAGAGACCUGCCACUCUUCCUAAGGGGCCCCAUUUGCUUCACAAAUAGCAUAUUCUGGCACUUUCAGCCUCAUUAAAGGAAGCGACUAAACUCCAUUUGGCCUGUAACCAGAGAACUGGAUUAAAGCGGUGGUGUCUGUGACCAGGGAAUGGUUCUCAAGGCUCUCAGUCUCACUUGAGGAACUCUUUCUCCGCCUGUGAUCUGUCAGUAUUUUGCAUCCCAGUUGUUUCCACCAGAGACAGUGUCAGAGCAGGUAUGCCACUCCG
rnacentral:lncRNA from 1 species